UCCAGCUGAGGUUCCUGCCAACAGCUAGCAUGCAUCCAGGUGAUUCCCACUCCCAGCCUUUAAGUCCUUCCAGCUGAGGCCUCAGAUAUCAUGGAGCAGAGACAAAUGUGGACACAUACAUCUCAUGAAGUGCCUUUUCAGGAAUUAAUUGUGCUGUUUGAGAAGUACCUAUGUCUUCAGAGAAUGUAAAGAAACAGAAUACAUUUCCCAGCCUUAUCUGCUGCCUACCUCGUGCUGAUCAGUAGUGCCAUGGCCGCUGUGAAGAGUGAAUUGCCACUGCUCCGCAGACUGGGUAACAUAGAAAGAUGCCAUCUCUGAAAAUUAUUUUUUUCUCAGAAAGAGAAUAUAUUUCCCAGCCUUAUCUGCUGUCUACUUCCCUCAAUUCUUCCCCCUCUCAUGACAGCUGACAGCAAAGGCCCAUGAUUUAGGAUCCUCUAAAAUCCCACCUGGGAAAUGACUUCGUGCUGACAGGAAAUUUUCAAAGCUAAAAUCAUGUACAAAAAGCAAUGGUUACUUUUUAGAACAAUAGCUAAAAUAUAAAAUACAGUAGAAUCACUUUCAUUGAUUAAUUUUUGUUUGUUAGUUUUAUUCACUCAACCUACAGCAAUGACAUAGCCAGAAACUCCCUGUUCUUAAUGACCUCGUGGGUUCUCUGCCUGAUAAAGGGCACCACUGUGCUUCAGGGCGCGGCUGCUGAAUUCCUCUGGCCUUGGGUUCAAAUUUCUGCUCUAUUAUUUACUAGGUACAUAACCUUGGGCAAUUCACUUCACUUUUCUCAGUCUCCAUUUUCUCUUUUGUAAAUAGUGAAUAAUUCAGUAACUACUCAGGUUGCUGAAGCAUUGAAUGAUGUAGGCACAUCAGGUGUUAGCAUGGUGCCUCAUAUAUGGUGGUUAAUUAUUACAAGUAAGAUAAUAACACUUGGUUACUGUAAUUACUAGUGCUACUCUUUGACCACCUUGGGGGGAAAGAAAACCACUAAGAUAAUCCCCCUUAUCAUGGGCACUUCCUCUGUUGAAAAACUCAGUAGAAUUCAUCACAAAGAGGCCAGGAUCAGAUAAGAGGCCAGUCAUCGUCUAGUCUUUGGCCACCUCUGAACUCCUCUGAACUCCCUUGAGCAUGAUAUUUGCUGCACAGCCCUACACAGCAACCCUGGUAAACUGCAA